UACGAAGGGGGCUAGCGUUGCUCGGAAUCACUGGGCGUAAAGCGCACGUAGGCGGAUCUUUAAGUCAGGGGUGAAAUCCUGGAGCUCAACUCCAGAACUGCCUCUGAUACUGGGGAUCUUGAGUCCGGAAGAGGUAAGUGGAACUGCGAGUGUAGAGGUGAAAUUCGUAGAUAUUCGCAAGAACACCAGUGGCGAAGGCGACUUUCUGGACCAUAACUGACGCUGAGGCAUGAAAGCGUGGGGAGCAAACAGG
rnacentral:rRNA from 1 species